rnacentral:rRNA from 1 species
GCAUCGAUGAAGAACGCAGCGAAAUGCGAUAAGUAAUGUGAAUUGCAGAAUCAGUGAGUCAUCGAAUCUUUGAACGCACAUUGCGCCUCUCGGUAUUCCGGGAGGCACGCCUGUUCGAGCGCCAUUACAAACUCCAAGCGUUGGCUUGAUGUUGGGCGACGUCCUUUUCGGAGAGGAAGGGACGGGCCUGGAAGGAGUGGGCGGCCUCCGGCGGACCGCGAGCGUAGCAAGACGUCAGCGUCAAGUCGCUCGGUUGGGUCCGACGAGGGGUCAGUCUCUCUGUGUCGGUGGUGCUGUCGUCGAAGGUCGAGAGGCUUUGGGCCUCUGGAUGUUUGGGCGAGAGCACGUCGAAGAACGCACGCAAACAGUUUGGCCUCGGAUCAGGCGGGGAUACCCGCUGAACUUAAGCAUAUCAAUAAGCGGAGGA